rnacentral:misc_RNA from 1 species
GCAAACUUGGUCAUUUAGAGGAAGUAAAAGUCGUAACAAGGUUUCCGUAGGUGAACCUGCGGAAGGAUCAUUAAUGAAAUGCAAGGACGCUCUCUUUAGAGGUCCGACCCAUUCAUUUUCCUUACACUGUGAACCAAUUCUUUUUUUACACCAUUUUUAAACGCAUGAGUCUUAAGAAUGUCACAAGUCUCUUAACCGAGCAUAAAACUUGUAAAAACUUUCGGCAACGGAUCUCUUGGCUCCCGCAUCGAUGAAGAACGCAGC